rnacentral:rRNA from 1 species
AGUGAACGCUGGCGGCAGGCUUAACACAUGCAAGUCGAACGGCAGCACAGUAAGAGCUUGCUCUUACGGGUGGCGAGUGGCGGACGGGUGACGAAUACAUCGGAAUCUACUUUUUCGUGGGGGAUAACGUAGGGAAACUUACGCUAAUACCGCAUACGACCUACGGGUGAAAGCAGGGGAUCUUCGGACCUUGCGCGAUUGAAUGAGCCGAUGUCGGAGUAGCUAGUUGGCGGGGUAAAGGCCCACCAAGGCGACGAUCCGUAGCUGGUCUGAGAGGAUGGUCAGCCACACUGGAGCUGAGACGCGGUCCAGGCGCCUACGGGAGGCAGCAGUGGGGAAUGUUAGGCAAUGGGCGCGAGCCUUGUCCAGCCGUACCGCGUGUGUGAAGGAGGCGUUCGGGUUGUAAAGCCCUUUUGUUGGGAAAGAAAAGCAGCAGGUUGAUACCCCGCUGUUCUGACGGCACCCAAAGAAUAAGCACCGGCUAACUACGUG